rnacentral:sRNA from 1 species
AAGCCCAGGGAGCGGGCUCCGGGGGAGAA